GACUACGUAUGCGAAAGCAAUUGCCAAGGAUUUUUCAUUAUCAAGAACGAAAGAUAGGGAUCAGGACAUCAGAUACUUCGUAGUCCAAUUUUAAACUAUGCCGACUAGGAUGAGUGGAUAUUCACAAUUCAGUACUUAGGAGAAUCAAGUCUUUGGGUCUUGGGGGGAGUAUGUUCGCAGGACUGAAACUUAAAGAGAUUGACGGAGGGCACCACCAGGAGUGGAGCUGCGGGCUGGAGUUGGACUCAACACGGGGAAACUUACCAGGUCCAGACAUAGUAAGGAAAGAAGAGAUGAUAGCUCUUUCUUGAUUCUAUGGGUGGUGGUGCAUGCCCGUUCUGGUGCCGCGUGAGUGUCUGGUUAAUUCCGAUAACGAACGAGACCUUAACCUGCUAACUAGACUUUUUCAUUUUAUGAUUAAGUCUUCUUAGAGGGACUAUAUGCUUUAAGUAUAUGGAAGUUUGAGGCAAUAACAGAUAAGAGAUGCCCUUAUAUGUCCUGGGCUGCACGCGUGCUACACUGAUGUAUACAACAAGUGCCUAGCUAGAUAUAGUAUGGCAAUCUCGAAUAUGCAUCGUGAUGGGGAUAGAUCUUUGCAAUUAUAGAUCUUGAACGAGGAAUUCCUAGUAAGUGCAAGUCAUCAUCUUGCAUUGAUUAUGUCCCUGCCCUUUGUACACACCGCCCGUAGCUCCUACCGAUACCGGGUGAUCCGGUGAACCUGUUGGACCCUUUUGAGAAAAACAAGUAAAUCAUAUCACCUAUAAAAGGAGAAGUCGUAACAAGUAAUCGCUCCUUUUUCCUCUCUCAGAG
rnacentral:rRNA from 1 species